AGAGUUUGAUCCUGGCUCAGGACGAACGCUGGCGGCGUGCCUAACACAUGCAAGUGGAGCGACGAACCGUCUUCGGACGGGGCAAAGCCGCGAACGGGUGAGUAACACGUGGGUAACCUGCCCUGAUGAUUGGGACAACCCGAGGAAACUCGGGCUAAUACCAAAUGUGCCCUCCGACCGUAAGGUUGAUGGGGAAAGGAAGCUUCGGCCUCCGCAUCGGGAUGGGCCCGCGGCCCAUUAGCUUGUUGGUGAGGUAAUGGCUCACCAAGGCGACGAUGGGUAGCUGGUCUGAGAGGACGAUCAGCCACACUGGGACUGAGACACGGCCCAGACUCCUACGGGAGGCAGCAGUGGGGAAUCUUGCGCAAUGCGCGAAAGCGUGACGCAGCAACGCCGCGUGGGGGAAGAAGGCCUUCGGGUUGUAAACCCCUUUCAGUUGGGACGAAGCUUUGCCGGUGAAUAGCCGGUUGGAGUGACGGUACCUUCAGAAGAAGCCCCGGCUAACUACGUGCCAGCAGCCGCGGUAAUACGUAGGGGGCAAGCGUUGUCCGGAAUCAUUGGGCGUAAAGCGCGUGUAGGCGGCUCGAUAAGUCUGCUGUGAAAGUCCAGGGCUCAACCCUGGAAAGCCGGUGGAAACUGUCGAGCUAGAGUCCGGAAGAGGCGAGUGGAAUUCCUGGUGUAGCGGUGAAAUGCGCAGAUAUCAGGAGGAACACCAAUGGCGAAGGCAGCUCGCUGGGACGGUACUGACGCUGAGACGCGAAAGCGUGGGGAGCAAACAGGAUUAGAUACCCUAGUAGUCC
rnacentral:rRNA from 1 species